AACGAACGCUGGCGGCAUGCCUAACACAUGCAAGUCGAACGAGACCUUCGGGUCUAGUGGCGCACGGGUGCGUAACGCGUGGGAACCUGCCUUUAGGUUCGGAAUAACUCAGAGAAAUUUGAGCUAAUACCGGAUAAUGUCUUCGGACCAAAGAUUUAUCGCCUUUAGAUGGGCCCGCGUUGGAUUAGCUAGUUGGUGGGGUAAAGGCCUACCAAGGCGACGAUCCAUGGCUGGUCUGAGAGGAUGAUCAGCCACACUGGGACUGAGACACGGUCCAGACUCCUACGGGAGGCGGCAGUGGGGAAUAUUGGACAAUGGGCGAAAGCCUGAUCCAGCCAUGCCGCGUGAGUGAUGAAGGCCUUAGGGUUGUAAAGCUCUUUUACCCGAGAUGAUAAUGACAGUAUCGGGAGAAUAAGCUCCGGCUAACUCCGUGCCAGCCGCCGCAGUAA
rnacentral:rRNA from 1 species